rnacentral:rRNA from 1 species
GAUGAACGCUGGCGGCGUGCCUAAUACAUGCAAGUCGAGCGAACAGACGAGGAGCUUGCUCCUCUGACGUUAGCGGCGGACGGGUGAGUAACACGUGGAUAACCUACCUAUAAGACUGGGAUAACUUCGGGAAACCGGAGCUAAUACCGGAUAAUAUAUUGAACCGCAUGGUUCAAUAGUGAAAGACGGUUUUGCUGUCACUUAUAGAUGGAUCCGCGCCGCAUUAGCUAGUUGGUAAGGUAACGGCUUACCAAGGCAACGAUGCGUAGCCGACCUGCGAGGGGGAUCGGCCACACUGGAACUGAGACACGGUCCAGACUCCUACGGGAGGCAGCAGUAGGGAAUCUUCCGAAAUGGGCGAAAGCUUGACGGAGCAACGCCGCGUGAGUGAUGAAGGUCUUCGGAUCGUAAAACUCUGUUAUUAGGGAAGAACAAAUGUGUAAGUAACUAUGCACGUCUUGACGGUACCUAAUCAGAAAGCCACGGCUAACUACGUG